rfam:Bosea sp. Leaf344 contig_9, whole genome shotgun sequence.
CGGAGUGUGGCUCAGCCUGGUAGAGCACCUCGUUCGGGACGAGGGGGUCGCAGGUUCAAAUCCUGCCACUCCGA